UAAAAGCUGGAGUUGUGCCACCGUGACU
rnacentral:piRNA from 1 species